GUGAACGCUGGCGGUAGGCCUAACACAUGCAAGUCGAACGGCAGCACAGUAAGAGCUUGCUCUUACGGGUGGCGAGUGGCGGACGGGUGAGGAAUACAUCGGAAUCUACUUUUUCGUGGGGGAUAACGUAGGGAAACUUACGCUAAUACCGCAUACGACCUACGGGUGAAAGCAGGGGAUCUUCGGACCUUGCGCGAUUGAAUGAGCCGAUGUCGGAUUAGCUAGUUGGCGGGGUAAAGGCCCACCAAGGCGACGAUCCGUAGCUGGUCUGAGAGGAUGAUCAGCCACACUGGAACUGAGACACGGUCCAGACUCCUACGGGAGGCGGCAGUGGGGAAUAUUGGACAAUGGGCGCAAGCCUGAUCCAGCCAUACCGCGUGGGUGAAGAAGGCCUUCGGGUUGUACAGCCAUUUUGUUGAGAAAGAAAAGCAGCAGGUUAAUACCCCGCUGUUAUGACGGUACCCAAAGAAUAAGCACCGGCUAACUUCGUG
rnacentral:rRNA from 1 species